UUGCCUACGGGAGGCAGCAGUCGGGAAUAUUGCGCAAUGGAGGAAACUCUGACGCAGUGACGCCGCGUAUAGGAAGAAGGUUUUCGGAUUGUAAACUAUUGUCGCGAGGGAAGAAGAUGACAGUACCUCAGGAGGAAGCUCCGGCUAACUAUGUGCCAGCAGCCGCGGUAAUACAUAGGGAGCAAGCGUUAUCCGGAAUUAUUGGGUGUAAAGGGUGCGUAGACGGGAAAUUAAGUUAGUUGUGAAAUCCCUUGGCUUAACUGAGGAACUGCAACUAAAACUGAUUUUCU
rnacentral:rRNA from 1 species